GGGUUGUGAGGUUAAGCGACUAAGCGUACACGGUGGAUGCCCUGGCAGUCAGAGGCGAUGAAGGACGUGCUAAUCUGCGAAAAGCGUCGGUAAGGUGAUAUGAACCGUUAUAACCGGCGAUGUCCGAAUGGGGAAACCCAGUGCAAUUCGUUGCACUAUCGUUAACUGAAUACAUAGGUUAACGAGGCGAACCGGGGGAACUGAAACAUCUAAGUACCCCGAGGAAAAGAAAUCAACCGAGAUUCCCCCAGUAGCGGCGAGCGAACGGGGAGCAGCCCAGAGUCUGAAUCAGCUUGUGUGUUAGUGGAACGGUCUGGAAAGUCCGACGGUACAGGGUGAUAGUCCCGUACACCAAAAUGCACAGGUUGUGAACUCGAAGAGUAGGGCGGGACACGUGGUAUCCUGUCUGAAUAUGGGGGGACCAUCCUCCAAGGCUAAAUACUCCUGACUGACCGAUAGUGAACCAGUACCGUGAGGGAAAGGCGAAAAGAACCCCGGCGAGGGGAGUGAAAAAGAACCUGAAACCGUGUACGUACAAGCAGUGGGAGCACCUUCGGGUGUGACUGCGUACCUUUUGUAUAAUGGGUCAGCGACUUAUAUUCUGUAGCAAGGUUAACCGUAUAGGGGAGCCGCAGGGAAACCGAGUCUUAACUGGGCGUUAAGUUGCAGGGUAUAGACCCGAAACCCGGUGAUCUAGCCAUGGGCAGGUUGAAGGUUGGGUAACACUAACUGGAGGACCGAACCGACUAAUGUUGAAAAAUUAGCGGAUGACUUGUGGCUGGGGGUGAAAGGCCAAUCAAACCGGGAGAUAGCUGGUUCUCCCCGAAAGCUAUUUAGGUAGCGCCUCGUGAAUUCAUCUUCGGGGGUAGAGCACUGUUUCGGCUAGGGGGUCAUCCCGACUUACCAACCCGAUGCAAACUACGAAUACCGAAGAAUGUUAUCACGGGAGACACACGGCGGGUGCUAACGUCCGUCGUGAAGAGGGAAACAACCCAGACCGCCAGCUAAGGUCCCAAAGUCAUGGUUAAGUGGGAAACGAUGUGGGAAGGCACAGACAGCCAGGAUGUUGGCUUAGAAGCAGCCAUCAUUUAAAGAAAGCGUAAUAGCUCACUGGUCGAGUCGGCCUGCGCGGAAGAUGUAACGGGGCUAAACCAUGCACCGAAGCUGCGGCAGCGACACUAUGUGUUGUUGGGUAGGGGAGCGUUCUGUAAGCCUGCGAAGGUGUGCUGUGAGGCAUGCUGGAGGUAUCAGAAGUGCGAAUGCUGACAUAAGUAACGAUAAAGCGGGUGAAAAGCCCGCUCGCCGGAAGACCAAGGGUUCCUGUCCAACGUUAAUCGGGGCAGGGUGAGUCGACCCCUAAGGCGAGGCCGAAAGGCGUAGUCGAUGGGAAACAGGUUAAUAUUCCUGUACUUGGUGUUACUGCGAAGGGGGACGGAGAAGGCUAUGUUAGCCGGGCGACGGUUGUCCCGGUUUAAGCAUGUAGGCUGAUUGUCCAGGCAAAUCCGGAUAAUCAAGGCUGAGGUGUGAUGACGAGGCACUACGGUGCUGAAGUAACAAAUGCCCUGCUUCCAGGAAAAGCCUCUAAGCAUCAGGUAACAUUAAAUCGUACCCCAAACCGACACAGGUGGUCAGGUAGAGAAUACCAAGGCGCUUGAGAGAACUCGGGUGAAGGAACUAGGCAAAAUGGUGCCGUAACUUCGGGAGAAGGCACGCUGGUGUGUAGGUGAAGUCCCUGCGGAUGGAGCUGAGACCAGUCGAAGAUACCAGCUGGCUGCAACUGUUUAUUAAAAACACAGCACUGUGCAAACACGAAAGUGGACGUAUACGGUGUGACGCCUGCCCGGUGCCGGAAGGUUAAUUGAUGGGGUUAUCCGUAAGGAGAAGCUCUUGAUCGAAGCCCCGGUAAACGGCGGCCGUAACUAUAACGGUCCUAAGGUAGCGAAAUUCCUUGUCGGGUAAGUUCCGACCUGCACGAAUGGCGUAAUGAUGGCCAGGCUGUCUCCACCCGAGACUCAGUGAAAUUGAACUCGCUGUGAAGAUGCAGUGUACCCGCGGCAAGACGGAAAGACCCCGUGAACCUUUACUAUAGCUUGACACUGAACAUUGAGCCUUGAUGUGUAGGAUAGGUGGGAGGCUUUGAAGCGUGGACGCCAGUCUGCGUGGAGCCAACCUUGAAAUACCACCCUUUAAUGUUUGAUGUUCUAACGUUGGCCCCUGACCGGGGUUGCGGACAGUGUCUGGUGGGUAGUUUGACUGGGGCGGUCUCCUCCCAAAGCGUAACGGAGGAGCACGAAGGUUAGCUAAUCCUGGUCGGACAUCAGGAGGUUAGUGCAAUGGCAUAAGCUAGCUUGACUGCGAGCGUGACGGCGCGAGCAGGUGCGAAAGCAGGUCAUAGUGAUCCGGUGGUUCUGAAUGGAAGGGCCAUCGCUCAACGGAUAAAAGGUACUCCGGGGAUAACAGGCUGAUACCGCCCAAGAGUUCAUAUCGACGGCGGUGUUUGGCACCUCGAUGUCGGCUCAUCACAUCCUGGGGCUGAAGUAGGUCCCAAGGGUAUGGCUGUUCGCCAUUUAAAGUGGUACGCGAGCUGGGUUUAGAACGUCGUGAGACAGUUCGGUCCCUAUCUGCCGUGGGCGCUGGAGAAUUGAGGGGGGCUGCUCCUAGUACGAGAGGACCGGAGUGGACGCAUCACUGGUGUUCGGGUUGUCAUGCCAAUGGCACUGCCCGGUAGCUAAAUGCGGAAGAGAUAAGUGCUGAAAGCAUCUAAGCACGAAACUUGCCCCGAGAUGAGUUCUCCCUGAGACUUUAAGUCUCCUGAAGGAACGUUAAAGACGAUGACGUUGAUAGGCCGGGUGUGUAAGCGCAGCGAUGCGUUGAGCUAACCGGUACUAAUGAACCGUGAGGCUUAACCUUACAACGCCGAAG
rnacentral:rRNA from 1 species